GAUGACAACAAGGAGGUUGCCUGUAGAUGAAUCUGAGGUCACCUAUGGCUGAAUCCGAAGCAUCUCUGGUGACGCAACUCUCCCAUGUCCGAGGAUCUGAGCUCCCCUCACUCGCGGUCGUCGGAUCCGAUUUUCGAGGUCGUCCCACCUGCACCUCACCCCCGUCAGCACCGAACUCUCCUGUGAACAGCUUCAAGCUCAUCCCCUCUUGCGGCCGCCGACAACGUUGUCACCACUCUUCAAACCCCUC
rnacentral:lncRNA from 1 species